rnacentral:tRNA from 1 species
GGCCGGGUAGCUCAGUCGGUAGAGCAGGGGAUUGAAAAUCCCCGUGUCGGCGGUUCGAUUCCGUCCCUGGCCACCA